rnacentral:rRNA from 1 species
CCCUUAGAUGUCCGGGGCCGCACGCGCGCUACAAUGGAUGAAUCAACGCGUCAUCCUGGCCCGAAAGGGUUGGGGAACCGCUGAACCUCAUCCGUGGUUGGGAUUGGGGUUUGUAAUUAUUCCCCAUGAACUAGGAAUUCCCAGUAAGCGCGAGUCAUAAGCUCGCGUUGAUUACGUCCCUGCCCUUUGUGCACACCGCCCGUCGCUACUACCGAUUGGAUGGUUUAGUGAGAUCCUCGGAUUGGUCACGGCACGGUGGCAACACUGCGUCGGUGUGCCGAGAAGACGAUCAAACUUGAUCAUCUAGAGGAAGUAAAAGUCGUAACA